CCCUUAGAUGUUCUGGGCCGCACGCGCGCUACACUGACCAGUGCAACAAGCAUCCGUCCUUGGCCGACAGGCUCGGGCAAUCUUUGAACGCUGGUCGUGAUGGGGAUAGACUUUUGCAAUUUUUGGUCUUCAACGAGGAAUUCCUAGUAAACGCAAGUCAUCAACUUGCAUUGAUUACGUCCCUGCCCUUUGUACACACCGCCCGUCGCACCUACCGAUUGAAUGGUCCGGUGAAGCCUCCGGAUUGGCGCGCACCUCGGUGCCGCCGAGAAGUUGGCUAAACCUUACCAUUUAGAGGAAGGUGAANUCGUANCA
rnacentral:rRNA from 1 species